rnacentral:rRNA from 1 species
GUCCCGUUCGACAGGAGUUUACGACCCGAAGAUCUUCGUCCUCCACGCGGCGUUGCGUCGUCAGGCUUGCGCCCAUUGCGAACAAUUCCCCACUGCUGCCUCCCGUAGGAGUCUGGGCCGUGUCUCAGUCCCAGUGUGGCCGUCCGCCCUCUCAGGCCGGCUACUGAUCGUUGCCUUGGUGAGCCAUUACCUC